GCCUGGGUGGCUCAGUUGGUUCAGCAUCUGACUUCAGCUCAGGUCAUCAUCUCACACUUUGUGGGUUCGAGCCCCACGUCGGGCU
rnacentral:tRNA from 1 species